rnacentral:RNase_P_RNA from 1 species
UCCGGCCCGCAGGUAACUACGGGGCGCAAAGCCCUGAGGAAACACCGCCCUCUGUACGGGACCGGGGCUCCGCAAGGAGCCAGGGUAAUACCCUGGGCAACAGCACAGAAACGACAUGUCCACAAGCCGAUGCGGAUGAUGCGACGAGGUCCUCCGGGUAACCGGGGGACAGGCAACCCGCUGACAAGGCUUGUGGGAGCAGUGAAACGGCUGUCCCCUGGAGAGUAAGGCUCCGGUCCUGUGAGUUCCCGUACGAGGACCGGGUAGCCGCUAAGCCAAAUGUUACCCAGACAGAAGGCGGGUUAUGGCGGGCCGGA